rnacentral:rRNA from 1 species
GGACCCGCACAAGCGGUGGAUGAUGUGGAUUAAUUCGAUGCAACGCGAAAAACCUUACCUACCCUUGACAUGCCAGGAACCUUGCUGAGAGGUGAGGGUGCCCGAAAGGGAGCCUGGACACAGGKGCUGCAUGGCWGUSGUCAGCUCGUGUCGUGAGAUGUUGGGUUAAGUCCCGCAACGAGCGCAACCCUUGCCAUUAAUUGCCAUCAUUUAGUUGGGCACUUUAAUGGGACUGCCGGUGACAAACCGGAGGAAGGUGGGGAUGACGUCAAGUCCUCAUGGCCCUUAUGGGUAGGGCUUCACACGUCAUACAAUGGUCGGUACAGAGGGUUGCCAAGCCGCGAGGUGGAGCGAAUCUCACAAAGCCGAUCGUAGUCCGGAUUGCAGUCUGCAACUCGACUGCAUGAAGUCGGAAUCGCUAGUAAUCGCGGAUCAGCAUGUCGCGGUGAAUACGUUCCCGGGUCUUGUACACACCGCCCGUCACACCAUGGGAGUGGGUUUCACCAGAAGCAGGUAGCCUAACCGCAAGGAGGGCGCUUACCACGGUGAGAUCAUGA